rnacentral:rRNA from 1 species
GUCUACAGCCAUGCCACCCUGAACAUGCCCAAUCCCAUCUGAUCUCGGAAGCUAAGCAAGGUCAGGCCUGGUUAGUACUUGGAUGGGAGACCACCUAGGAAGUCCAGGUGCUGUAGGUG